rnacentral:rRNA from 1 species
CAGUCGCCGCGGGAAUACGAAGGGGGCUAGCGUUGCUCGGAAUGACUGGGCGUAAAGGGCGCGUAGGCGGCGAUCAAAGUCAGGCGUGAAAUUCCUGGGCUCAACCUGGGGGCUGCGUUUGAUACUUGGUUGCUAGAGUGAGGAAGAGGGUCGUGGAAUUCCCAGUGUAGAGGUGAAAUUCGUAGAUAUUGGGAAGAACACCGGUGGCGAAGGCGGCGACCUGGUCCUUGACUGACGCCGAUGCACGAAAGCUAGGGGAGCAAACAGGAUUAGAUACCCGCGUAGUCCCUGUCUCUUAUAC